rnacentral:rRNA from 1 species
GGAGAGUUUGAUCCUGGCUCAGGAUGAACGCUAGCUACAGGCUUAACACAUGCAAGUCGAGGGGUAACAUGAUUGGAGCUUGCUCCGAUUGAUGACGACCGGCGCACGGGUGCGUAACGCGUAUCCAACCUUCCCCCUACCAGGGAAUAGCCCGUUGAAAGACGGAUUAAUGCCCUAUGUUGUGUGAUAAUGGCAUCAGAGUUACACGAAAGACUUUGUCGGUAUGGGAUGGGGAUUGCGUACGAUUAGCUAGUCGGCGGGGUAACGGCCCACCGAGGCUACGAUCGUUAGGGGUUCUGAGAGGAAGGUCCNCCCACACUGGUACUGAGACACGGACCAGACUCCUACGGGAGGCAGCAGUGAGGAAUAUUGGUCAAUGGUCGGAAGACUGAACCAGCCAAGUAGCGUGCAGGACGACUGCCCUAUGGGUUGUAAACUGCUUUUAUGCGGGGAUAAAGUGGGGAACGUGUUCCCUUUUGCAGGUACCGCAUGAAUAAGGACCGGCUAAUUCCGUGCCAGCAGCCGCGGUAAUACGGAAGGUCCGGGCGUUAUCCGGAUUUAUUGGGUUUAAAGGGAGCGUAGGCUGGUAUUUAAGCGUGACGUGAAAUGUACGGGCUCAACCUGUGCCUUGCGUCGCGAACUGGGUCCCUUGAGUAAUCAGUAGGCGGGCGGAAUUCGUGGUGUAGCGGUGAAAUGCUUAGAUAUCACGAGGAACUCCGAUUGCGAAGGCAGCUCGCUGUUGUUUUACUGACGCUGAAGCUCGAAGGCGCGGGUAUCGAACAGGAUUAGAUACCCUGGUAGUCCGCGCGGUAAACGAUGGAUGCCCGCUGUGUGGCCAUUAGGUUGCGCGGCCAAGCGAAAGCGUUAAGCAUCCCACCUGGGGAGUACGCCGGCAACGGUGAAACUCAAAGGAAUUGACGGGGGCCCGCACAAGCGGAGGAACAUGUGGUUUAAUUCGAUGAUACGCGAGGAACCUUACCCGGGCUUGAACUGCACAGGAAUGAUCUAGAGAUAGUGAAGCCCUUCGGGGCCUGUGUGGAGGUGCUGCAUGGUUGUCGUCAGCUCGUGCCGUGAGGUGUCGGCUUAAGUGCCAUAACGAGCGCAACCCCUUUCUUCAGUUGCCAUCAGGUAAUGCUGGGCACUCUGUGGAUACUGCCGCCGCAAGGUGGAGGAGGGUGGGGAUGACGUCAAAUCAGCACGGCCCUUACGUCCGGGGCUACACACGUGUUACAAUGGGCGGUACAGCGAGUCGGUGGCAGGCGACUGUCAUCCAAUCCUGAAAGCCGUUCCCAGUUCGGAUCGGGGUCUGCAACCCGACCCCGUGAAGCUGGAUUCGCUAGUAAUCGCGCAUCAGCCAUGGCGCGGUGAAUACGUUCCCGGGCCUUGUACACACCGCCCGUCAAGCCAUGAAAGCCGGGGGCGCCUGAAGUCCGUGACCGCGAGGGUCGGCCUAGGGUGAAACCGGUGAUUGGGGCUAAGUCGUAACAAGGUAGCCGUA